UACGGAGGGAGCAAGCGUUACUCGGAAUUACUGGGCGUAAAGGGUGCGUAGGCGGCGCGGUAAGUCGGGUGUGAAAUCUCGGAGCUUAACUUCGAAACUGCAUUCGAUACUGCCGUGCUUGAGGACUGGAGAGGAGACUGGAAUUUACGGUGUAGCGGUGAAAUGCGUAGAUAUCGUAAGGAAGACCAGUGGCGAAGGCGGGUCUCUGGACAGUUCCUGACGCUGAGGCACGAAGGCCAGGGGAGCAAACGGG
rnacentral:rRNA from 1 species